GUAGGUGGCAAGCGUUGUCCGGAAUUAUUGGGCGUAAAGCGCGCGCAGGCGGUUCUUUAAGUCUGAUGUGAAAGCCCACGGGCUCAACCGUGGAGGGUCAUUGGAAACUGGAGAACUUGAGUACAGAAGAGGAAAGCGGAAUUCCACGUGUAGCGGUGAAAUGCGUAGAGAUGUGGAGGAACACCAGUGGCGAAGGCGGCUUUCUGGUCUGUAACUGACGCUGAGGCGCGAAAGCGUGGGGAGCAAACAGGAUUAGAUACCCUGGUAGUCCACGCCGUAAACGAUGAGUGCUAAGUGUUAGGGGGUUUCCGCCCCUUAGUGCUGCAGCUAACGCAUUAAGCACUCCGCCUGGGAAGUACGGCCGCAAGGCUG
rnacentral:rRNA from 1 species